rnacentral:rRNA from 1 species
UCGAGCGGUACAUUUCUAGCUUGCUAGAAGAUGACGAGCGGCGGACGGGUGAGUAAUACUUAGGAAUCUACCUAGUAGUGGGGGAUAGCUCGGGGAAACUCGAAUUAAUACCGCAUACGACCUACGGGAGAAAGGGGGCAACUUGUUGCUCUCGCUAUUAGAUGAGCCUAAGUCGGAUUAGCUAGAUGGUGGGGUAAAGGCCUACCAUGGCGACGAUCUGUAGCUGGUCUGAGAGGAUGAUCAGCCACACCGGGACUGAGACACGGCCCGGACUCCUACGGGAGGCAGCAGUGGGGAAUAUUGGACAAUGGGGGAAACCCUGAUCCAGCCAUGCCGCGUGGGUGAAGAAGGCCUUUUGGUUGUAAA